CGCUCAGGACGAACGCUGGCGGCGUGCCUAAUACAUGCAAGUCGAGCGGACAGAUGGGAGCUUGCUCCCUGAUGUUAGCGGCGGACGGGUGAGUAACACGUGGGUAACCUGCCUGUAAGACUGGGAUAACUCCGGGAAACCGGGGCUAAUACCGGAUGCUUGUUUGAACCGCAUGGUUCAAACAUAAAAGGUGGCUUCGGCUACCACUUACAGAUGGACCCGCGGCGCAUUAGCUAGUUGGUGAGGUAAUGGCUCACCAAGGCAACGAUGCGUAGCCGACCUGAGAGGGUGAUCGGCCACACUGGGACUGAGACACGGCCCAGACUCCUACGGGAGGCAGCAGUAGGGAAUCUUCCGCAAUGGACGAAAGUCUGACGGAGCAACGCCGCGUGAGUGAUGAAGGUUUUCGGAUCGUAAAGCUCUGUUGUUAGGGAAGAACAAGUGCCGUUCAAAUAGGGCGGCACCUUGACGGUACCUAACCAGAAAGCCACGGCUAACUACGUGCCAGCAGCCGCGGUAAUACGUAGGUGGCAAGCGUUGUCCGGAAUUAUUGGGCGUAAAGGGCUCGCAGGCGGUUUCUUAAGUCUGAUGUGAAAGCCCCCGGCUCAACCGGGGAGGGUCAUUGGAAACUGGGGAACUUGAGUGCAGAAGAGGAGAGUGGAAUUCCACGUGUAGCGGUGAAAUGCGUAGAGAUGUGGAGGAACACCAGUGGCGAAGGCGACUCUCUGGUCUGUAACUGACGCUGAGGAGCGAAAGCGUGGGGAGCGAACAGGAUUAGAUACCCUGGUAGUCCACGCCGUAAACGAUGAGUGCUAAGUGUUAGGGGGUUUCCGCCCCUUAGUGCUGCAGCUAACGCAUUAAGCACUCCGCCUGGGGAGUACGGUCGCAAGACUGAAUA
rnacentral:rRNA from 1 species